rnacentral:lncRNA from 1 species
CUCCCGGCUGAGCGUCCCCACCCCGCCAGGCUGUCUGGCUCCGUCUUGCUCGGCUCCUCCUGGCUGCGGGACCCUGGGUAGUUACGUCACUCCAGCCUCUUGGACACUAAGGGUGGGUAACAAAAGGCGGUUGGGAGACUCCACUGAGUGGACACCCUAAAGACCCAACACGCCACGCGGUCCCGGAUCCUAGAAGUCCCACUCCAGUCUACGGCGCCCUGCCAGCGUCCGAAACCACGCCUCUGUGGCUGCGCUGACGUCACCUGCCCCGGACGGGGUCACGUGGGCUCACGCACGGCUUCGAGGCGGGGCUGCUGCGCGAUGACGUCAGGAGUGCGACGCCUGUGCUCCACGGUCGCUGUGGCUGUCUCGUGGGUGUUUUUGUCAUCCACUGCCAUCCAGGAUUCCGCCGCCUUUUCCUGAGCCCAGGUGGGAGUCAUGGCCGAGGUGAUGUUUCCUCAAAGUGGGAGCUGCUGUCACAGCAGCUGUCCUGCAAGAUACCCUGUGGUUCCACUUUGUAUGCCGGCCCCAGCACUUGGCACAGAGGUGUCUACCAUCCAUCAGUAUUUCAGCAAUCUCAGGAUGCCAGAGCUAGAGGAGACCUGAGAGAGGAUUUCUUCAGUGGCUGCCAGAUUGUUCCAUGGAACCUGUGCCAGAGAUGAGGACGUGGAUACUGAGAAGGAGGCUUGCCCGUGCUGAUACACCUAAUGAGGAGUGGAGCAGAUUUGAACCCAAGUCUUUACACCUUAAUUAUCUGAGCAGAUUUGAAGCCUCAUAUGCCUCCCUUCUAGGAGCUGGGAAUUUCUGGUUCUUGGCCCUUGAUGGGAUGCGAGUCUGACAGACAUUCUCUGAUCCCAGGUUUGGGUGCUGGGUUUUCUGCUUCCAGAAUGAAGAACUUUGAUUUGCAUCAAGAUCCAGGCCCUUCUGGUGUCUGCUGAAUGAAAAACAAGGGAUAUUUAAUAAAUAAUGAAUGGUUUUAAAUGUGAUUCAGUCCAGCCUUUUCUUUCCAUAUGCUACAUGCAAAAAUAAGGAAGACUCUGCCCCUUCUUGAAGGAGUUGUCAGCUAAGUCCAAGGGAGCCCUAGGUAUUUUACCAUUCUCGGUGAUCUUGCCUUGUAGAUGAUGGCCACUUGGAACUUGGUGAUCACCUCGUGUGCAUGUGCCAUCUAUUUCAGCUGAUGGUGGUAUGUGGUGGUGAUAUUUAUCACAGUGCCAAGGGUAACCAGCUGAAUUCUGCAAUGCGAUCAAUGGGCACAAAGGCACUGUCAUUGGGAGCUUUAUCUUGAGAUCCUGGAGUGGGUUCCAGUGGUGUUCACCCACUGGCUCGGUAGAAUACCCUUGUCUUUUCAAAUACUCCUAGGUACUCACCUAAGUAUUGAAAUAUUACAGGAAGUAAUAGCUUUAGUCUGCAUUAUGCCCCAGAUAUCUCCCAUUUCAUUUGAAACAUAGCAGUCACAAUGCACCAUUGAGCCCACAGGACUUGGUUCUGUAGUUUAAUGUUGGUGACAUUGUCAUGGAAUGUUGACAGUAAGCAAGGCCAAGGCGCAGUGGCUCACACCUAUAAUCCUAGCACUUUGGGAGACUGAGGCAGGAGGAUUGCUUAAGCUCAGAAGUUGGAGAUGAGCAAGAGCGAGACCCUGGCUGUACUGAAAUAGAAAAAAUUAGCUAGGCAUAGUGGUAUGCACCUGUAGUCCCAGCUACUUGGGAGACUGAGGAUUGUUUGAGCCCAGGAGUUUGAGGUUGCAGUGAGCUAUGAUCACACCACUGCACUCCAGCUGGGGCAACAGUGAGACUGUCUCAAAAAAAAAAAUAAAAAGCAACUUUUACAUUCAAUUUGCCACUGACUAGUGAAUGGAAAAACACACAAAGGUGCCAGCUCCUCAGGUCCUUGUCCCAUACACCAAAAAGGAUGACACCAGACUAAAGGGCCUGCAACGGAGGUAUAGUACCAUCUUUUACUGAGGCCCCUAUUCUAGACUGCAGAGAGCCGGAUUUUCUAGUCUGCAGCCACACCCCAAGGGUGUGGUCAGGAAGACUCAUUUCCUCAAAACCCCAGAGAUAGCAGCUCCUGAUAGCCUGGCUGUGGGGGUUGAUGGCCGGGUGGCAGCACCUCACCAGCCUCCACUCUGUCCCAGGAGGCUCACAAGGCUCAGAGGGCUGUGUGGUCUGUGAGUCUGCAUUUCCAGAGCGCCUUGGAGCCAUUCACCUACAGCAACUAGCCUGACAGUAAAUCCUUAGGUAAAAAUAGAUUUCCA